rnacentral:rRNA from 1 species
GGGGGGGGGUGCAAGCGUUAUUCGGAAUUAUUGGGCGUAAAGGGCGCGCAGGGCGGUCUCUUAAGUCAGAUGUGAAAGCCCGGGGCUCAACUCCGGAAGUGCAUUUGAAACUAAGGGACUUGAGUAUGGGAGAGGGAAGUGGAAUUCCUGGUGUAGAGGUGAAAUUCGUAGAUAUCAGGAGGAACACCGGUGGCGAAGGCGACUUCCUGGACCAAUACUGACGCUGAGGCGCGAAGGCGUGGGGAGCAAACAGGAUUAGAUACCCUGGUAGUCCACGCAGUAAACGGUGAACACUAGGUGUAGCGGGUAUUUACCCCUGCUGUGCCGCAGCUAACGCAUUAAGUGUUCCGCCUGGGGAGUACGGUCGCAAGAUUA